GUUACUGUAGGCCUGCAUUGAACCCCACCUAUAGGUUAUAUCAUAGAAAUCAAAAGCAAUUUCCAUGUGAAAAUGUUCUGGGAUUUUCUCUAUUGGUAGGCCACUCUGAUAGGACUACAUUAUGCCAAAUAGCCUAUUGGCUACUGUCUAAAAGUGAUGGUACAGCCUAUUGGCUACUGUCUAAAAGUGAUGGUACAGCCUAUUGGCUACUGUCUAAAAGUGAUGGUACAGCCUAUUGGCUACUGUCUAAAAGUAAUGGUACAGCCUAUUGGCUACUGUCUAAAAGUGAUGGUACAGCCUAUUGGCUACUGUCUAAAAGUGAUGAUACAGCCUAUUGGCUACUGUCUAAAAGUGAUGGUACAGCCUAUUGGCUACUGUCUAAAAGUGAUGGUACAGCCUCAGUGUUCACCAAACGCCCGCCGGAAGUUGCACAAAAAGUUAAAGUUUCUGCUCACAAGACCUGACUUUUGCUCGGUGCUCCAAAAAAAUGACAGGGAACAUUGGACAUGACCCCAGUGGGAUUUAAACAGGGAACAUUGGACAUGACCCCAGUGGGAUUUAAACAGGGAACAUUGGACAUGACCCCAGUGGGAUUUAAACUCAAAACCCUGGCUGGAAUGCAACCAUAAAGUGUGUCCAGGAAAGCCAGAAAGAAACUCCAUGUGCUGCUAAACCUCGACCUACACCUAGAACCAGGCAGAUACUUACUCCUGGUGCUCGCAGUAGUCCCAGUCGUGUCUCUCGUGUUUACAGGCCAGGAAGUUGGGCCAGUUGUCCCUCUUACACUUCAUGAGCUUGAUGAGGUGGUGGGCGCAGUAGUCUCUCUGGAGUACAGGUACCUGGGCCAGGUUCAUCUGGGCCUGGGUGGCCACCAUCUCUACCAGGGGGACAAGACAACAUGUUACACCAGGGGUUAAUGGGGGAGGCCAGCAUCUCUACUAGGGGAACAAGAUAACAUGUUACACCAGGGGUUAAUGGGGGGAGGCCACCAUCUCUACCAGGGGGACAAGAUAACAUGUUACACCAGGGGUUAAUGGGGGAGGCCACCAUCUCUACCAGGGGGACAAGAAACAUGUUACACCAGGAGUUAAUGGGGGAGGCCACCAUCUCUACCAGGGGGACAAGAAACAUGUUACACCAGGGGUUAAUGGGUGAGGCCAUCAUCUCUACUAGGGGACACACACACAAAAUAAAAACUGUCAACAAAGAAUGGACUAGGCUAUGUCCUGAGAUGUGUAUAAGUGAAGCCUUGCAUUUUCCGUAAUGCAUUAUAUAUACAUGCGACGAAUGUGUGUACUGUUGGCAAGCAACUACUCUUUCACAGAGUAAGGAAAGGAGACGAGGAGAGGAAGAAAUUGAAUUAUUGAGAUGCACCUGGGAUUUAUGACUAUGAAUUUGACAGGACGGGAAUAUCUGUUCAAAACCAUAUUGCUGUCUGAACUGACAGUUUUAUUAAUUAAAAUAUAAACACUUUACACGAAUGGAAAGGGGGCGAAAUACUCAAGUUACAUUUCAUAGGGAACAUAUCAUGCUAGCUAAAUUUGGGUAACGUUAGCUAGCCACUACUAGUUGCAGUUAGUUUGCUAGCGGACUUUACUUUCCAUGGACAUGACAAGAAACAUGUCAAGAGCCCACCAGCAGACACGUUGCAAACAUACGGUCACAUGUUCGGACCAAAACAGACUCAACAACACAAACCUCUCUCUUUCCUCUCAUCGAAGCCGAAUUCGGGGUCAAAGCCAAAUGGUUUCGCAGGGUCAGGCUCGGUCUCCCUCUCGGUGAUAUACCGCCGCGCGAGGUGAGCUCCCAUGGUGCUAACGGUAUGUUUUUCAAAAUGAAAAUAAAAGAAUCGGUGUUUCCUAAGACUCUGGGAGACAACUAACUCAAGAUUGACAGAAUAAAUCUGCCAUUCGGUCACCUCCACAAGACCCAACGAGCUACUUCCUUUCUGCAACGGA
rnacentral:lncRNA from 1 species